rnacentral:lncRNA from 1 species
AAAAAUUCCAGAUUUGGUUGGACAAAUAUUAAUCAAGAAUUUUUGCAACAAAAUGGAGAAUUAAUCACGUUCAUCGUCAUAUAAUCGGGAGAUUUAAAAUACGCAAGGAAGAAGACGAAGAAAAAUUGUUGGGAUUCGUGUGGUGAAGAUCAAAAAUAGCUUAGAGUAAUUUUAUCUUGUUGAUUGUAAUUAAAUCUGGUGAUGCCGUUUAACUUUCAUUUGUUUAACUCCAACAAUAUAAGUGGCUAAAUACAUUUUAUGCUAGGAUGACGAUGCAGUUUAGGC